rnacentral:rRNA from 1 species
CGCCUCCUGCGACUAACUGAGUAUAGGAGGUCCAGCCUGCCCAGUGACUACGGGUUUAACGGCCGCGGUAUUUUGACCGUGCAAAGGUAGCGCAAUCACUUGUCUCUUAAAUAGAGACCUGUAUGAAUGGCUAGACGAGGGCUUAACUGUCUCCCCCCUUCAGUCAGUGAAAUUGAUCUAUCCGUGCAGAAGCGGGUAUACUACUACAAGACGAGAAGACCCUUUGGAGCUUAAGGUAUAAAAUUCAACCACGUUAAACGACUCUAUAAAAAGCAGGAACUUAGUGGCCGUGAAAUUUUACCUUCGGUUGGGGCGACCACGGAGUAAAAAUCAACCUCCGAGUGGACUGGGCCAAACCCCUAGAACUAAGAGAAACAUCUCUAAGCCACAGAACAUCUGACCAAUAAUGAUCCGACUACAAUAGUCGAUCAACGAACCAAGUUACCCUAGGGAUAACAGCGCAAUCCUCUCCCAGAGCCCAUAUCAACGAGAGGGUUUACGACCUCGAUGUUGGAUCAGGACAUCCUAAUGGUGCAGCCGCUAUUAAGGGUUCGUUUGUUCAACGAUUAAAGUCCU